rnacentral:rRNA from 1 species
UACGUAGGGUGCAAGCGUUAAUCGGAAUUACUGGGCGUAAAGCGUGCGCAGGCGGUUUUGUAAGUUUGUCGUGAAAGCCCCGGGCUCAACCUGGGAAUUGCAUUCGAGACUGCAUAGCUAGGGUGCGGAAGAGGGAAGCGGAAUUUCCGGUGUAGCGGUGAAAUGCGUAGAUAUCGGAAGGAACACCAGUGGCGAAAGCGGCUUCCUGGUCCAGCACCGACGUUCAGGCACGAAAGCGUGGGGAGCAAACAGG